rnacentral:tRNA from 1 species
GGGGUUGUGGCUCAGUGGUAGAGCACUCGCCUAGCACGCGAGGCACUGGGUUCAAUCCUCAGCACCA